GCGCCCGUGGCUCAACUGGAUAGAGUAUCGGACUUCGGAUCCGACGGUUAUAGGUUCGAAUCCUAUCGGGCGCA
rnacentral:tRNA from 1 species